rnacentral:rRNA from 1 species
UACGUAGGGUGCGAGCGUUAAUCGGAAUUACUGGGCGUAAAGCGUGCGCAGGCGGUUUUGUAAGCCAGAUGUGAAAUCCCCGGGCUCAACCUGGGAAUGGCAUUUGGGACUGCAAGGCUUGAGUGCGGCAGAGGAGACUGGAAUUCCUGGUGUAGCAGUGAAAUGCGUAGAUAUCAGGAGGAAUACCGAUGGCGAAGGCAGGUCUCUGGGCUGACACUGACGCUCGAU